UACAGAGGUCUCAAGCGUUGUUCGGAUUCACUGGGCGUAAAGGGUGCGCAGGCGGCCAAGUGUGUUAGGCGUGAAAGCCCGGGGCUUAACCCCGGAAUUGCACCUAAAACUACAUGGCUAGAGCAUUGGAGAGGGUAGCGGAAUUCACGGUGUAGCAGUGAAAUGCGUAGAUAUCGUGAGGAACACCAGAGGCGAAGGCGGCUACCUGGACAAUUGCUGACGCUCAGGCACGAAAGCGUGGGAGCAAAAGGG
rnacentral:rRNA from 1 species